rnacentral:rRNA from 1 species
UACGUAGGGGGCAAGCGUUGUCCGGAAUCAUUGGGCGUAAAGAGCGUGUAGGCGGCCAGAUAAGUCCGCUGUGAAAUCUCGAGGCUCAACUUCGAGCUGUCGGUGGAAACUGUCUGGCUAGAGUCCGGAAGAGGAGAGUGGAAUUCCUGGUGUAGCGGUGAAAUGCGCAGAUAUCAGGAAGAACACCCGUGGCGAAGGCGGUUCUCUGGGACGGUACUGACGCUGAGACGCGAAAGCGUGGGGAGCGAACAGG